rnacentral:rRNA from 1 species
AUUGAACGCUGGCGGCAGGCCUAACACAUGCAAGUCGAACGAGUGGCGGACGGGUGAGUAAUGUCUGGGAAACUGCCCGAUGGAGGGGUAUAACUACUGGAAACGGUAGCUAAUACCGCAUACUCUCGGAUGUCCCCAGAUGGGAUUAGCUAGUAGGUGGGGUAAUGGCUCACCUAGGCGACGAUCCCUAGCCGGUCUGAGAGGAUUACCAGCCACACUGGAACUGAGACACGGCCCAGACGCCUACGGGAGGAAGCAGUGGGGAAUAGUGCACAAUGGGCGCAAGCCUGAUGCAGCCAUGCCGCGUGUAUGAAGAAGGCCUUCGGGUUGUAAAGUACUUUCAGCGAGGAGGCGUUACUCGCAGAAGAAGCACCGGCUAACUCCGUGCCAGCCGCCGCGGUAAUAC